UUUGAACGCUGGCGGCAGGCUUAACACAUGCAAGUCGAGCGGGGGAAGGUAGCUUGCUACCGGACCUAGCGGCGGACGGGUGAGUAAUGCUUAGGAAUCUGCCUAUUAGUGGGGGACAACAUCUCGAAAGGGAUGCUAAUACCGCAUACGUCCUACGGGAGAAAGCAGGGGAUCUUCGGACCUUGCGCUAAUAGAUGAGCCUAAGUCGGAUUAGCUAGUUGGUGGGGUAAAGGCCUACCAAGGGGACGAUCUGUAGCGGGUCUGAGCGGAUGAUCCGCCACACUGGGACUGAGACACGGCCCAGACUCCUACGGGAGGCAGCAGUGGGGAAUAUUGGACAAUGGGGGGGACCCUGAUCCAGCCAUGCCGCGUGUGUGAAGAAGGCCUUAUGGUUGUAAAGCACUUUAAGCGAGGAGGAGGCUACUUUGGUUAAUACCUGGAGAUAGUGGACGUUACUCGCAGAAUAAGCACCGGCUAACUCUGUGCCAGCCGCCGCCGUAA
rnacentral:rRNA from 1 species